rnacentral:lncRNA from 1 species
UCAAAAUAAAGUGUGUGGCUAACUAAACAUCUAUCAGCUCCUCUGUGUUUAAACACAGUGGUCCUCUUUGUGCUGCAGGUUGUUUUGUUUUGAGGCCUGGUCGCAAUUGCUGAUGUCACUACACAUAUUUUGGAAAAAAGACGCAAGCAUGCAUCUACAGAUUUAACCUUUUUCUCAGAGGAAGAACUUACUGGCUAUGGUACUAUAUUGUGAAAGCCAAGACAACUUAAGGGUACCCUGAGGAGAUGAGAUCAGGACCUUCAGAUUAUGAGACUCACGCCCUGCCAGCUGUGCUAAGAGGGCUCCUGAGGAGAUGAGAUGAAACAUAGAUGCUGUUUCAAAAUUGAUUAGUUCUCUGACUCGCCCACUGAAAUCAUCCAACCUAUUGAAAAAGCAGAAUGGGAUGUGGAUUAUAGGGUUUCAGAUAACACCAAGUCCCUAGUGAAAGAAGUACAACAACAGCCAUUUCCAUCAAAAUGUCAAGUGACAGGCCCAGUAGUCCUUGGAUGUUUAUUAGGUUGGACUUACAGGGGCUCCCCAUUCUUUCAC